rnacentral:rRNA from 1 species
UACGUAGGGUGCGAGCGUUAAUCGGAAUUACUGGGCGUAAAGCGUGCGCAGGCGGUUUUGUAAGACAGAGGUGAAAUCCCCGGGCUCAACCUGGGAACUGCCUUUGUGACUGCAAGGCUUGAGUGCGGCAGAGGGGGAUGGAAUUCCGCGUGUAGCAGUGAAAUGCGUAGAUAUGCGGAGGAACACCGAUGGCGAAGGCAAUCCCCUGGGCCAAUACUGACGCUCAUGCACGAAAGCGUGGGGAGCAAACAGG